CUAAUAAUUUCAACAUUGUCUCCGUCAGCAGUAACAUUUGUCUCUGUAACUGUUUACAAUGCCAGGAUAUUAUUAGUUCAAAAUCGUUAAGCCAGGCGGAGUAACGGGUCCCUGCAGGCCAUUGCACGUAAGGUCGCAUUCAGAUUCAGAUUCGAAAUUGUUUCUGUUGCCAUCGCAACCGGUGUAAUCGAAAGUUAGGCACUUUCCAGUU